UCUUGAUAUAGCAAAAGUUGACUCAAAUUUAUAUGGAGUUGGAACGUUUGCCUACGUUUGCUGCUAGGGGUGCUGUUCUAACUGCAUACAAAUUUGAGUAACUUUUACGCUAUCGA
rnacentral:pre_miRNA from 9 species